GUCAGGUUGUUAUGACAAGGUUGAUACCAGGUCAGGUUGUUAUGACAAGGUUGAGACUAGGUCAGGUUGUUAUGAUGAGGUUGAUACCAGGUCAGGUUGUUAUGACAAGGUUGAUACCAGGUCAGGUUGUUAUGACAAGGUUGAGACUAGGUCAGGUUGUUAUGAUGAGGUUUAUACUAGGUCAGGUUGUUAUGAUGAGGUUGAGACUAGAUCUAUAUUGUUAUGAGGUUGAGACUAGGUCAGGUUGUUAUGAUGAGGUUGAGACUAGAUCUAUAUUGUUAUGAUGUGGUUGAUACCAGGUCAGGUUGUUAUGAUGAGGUUGAUACCAGGUCAGGUUGUUAUGAUGUGGUUGAUACCAGGUCAGGUUGUUAUGAUGAGGCUGAUACCAGGUCAGGUUGUUAUGAUGAGGUUGAUACCAGGUCAGGUUGUUAUGAUGAGGUUGAUACCAGGUCAGGUUGUUAUGAUGAGGCUGAUACCAGGUCAGGUUGUUAUGAUGAGGCUGAUACCAGGUCAGGUUGUUAUGAUGAGGUUGAUACUAGGUCAGGUUGUUAUGAUGAGGUUGAUACCAGGUCAGGUUGUUAUGAUGAGGUUGAUACUAGGUCAGGUUGUGUAACCCAGACAAGCUCUAGAGCCAAAUGAAGUGGCUAGAAAGUACUCUACUUGUACUGAGUUCAGUUAGUGUGUCAGUGACAGAUGGAGUAGAGACAGCUUUAGAUUAGAUCCCAAAAAUAAAACCAGACCUUAUUUAGUCUUACUUGAGCUAUUGUUAGAUAUAGUGGUGGUAGCCUGAUAGUGGUAGCAAAGACCAGAAAUGAACAGAUUAAAUACCUAACAUUAGAAACAAUAUUGAAUCUAUAGAAAAAAGAGAUAAGAAAACAAUAACUGACCAAAAGCUUCUGUUACUGAUCUACGGGUUUUCCUGUUUGACUCAAAUUUGAAUCAAUAAGACAGCAACCAAUCAGAACAGGCCAUCAUGAUUACCUCAGCGUUCUGUUUGAUCUGUUAUCAGAAUCACAAACGGCAACGGACUCUGUCAAUGUUUUGACUGAUGCAGUCUUGUUGGCUCAGGGAGUUGCUUCAGAAAAAAAGAAUGAACUAGUAAUUGUAACACAGUAAUGACCUAGAUAGAUUAUUACGUUGAAUCCUCACAGAUCUGUUUUUCUGGUGGAGAAAUAGAAAAUCUAGAUAGGACACACAGUGCCCUGUUAAGUGAUGCAUAAUGAAUGUCUCUGAAUCAUCAGCGCAACAGAUCUAGAAUUAGCGCAUUUACGUUAUGUAACAUCUAUAUGAGUCAACUGAACUGCGUAUGCAGCAACACCACCGACCGAUGUUGGUGACUUGUGAGAAAAGGGGAUGUUGAGCAAUGUUUCCCGUCGGUAGAGGCACAGAAUGCACUCGAUACAUACUUGAAUAACAAGUGAUAUGUCAGCUUCGGGACAUCAGCCCACUGUUAUGACACAUAGACAGACUAAGUUAGUGAUUUGCAGAGGUGUAUUUCUUUGAGUUGACCUCUUUGAUAGAUUAUUGCAGACAAUUGUGCCAUAAGAGACCAAUGUGACCUUAUAGCUACAUUUACAAAUAUCCCACCUGGCAACUGAUAAAGGUUAUAGAGGGACAUUAUUAGAGGUCGAUACAUAGACGGUUUGCCCUCCUUCCCUUUCUCCCUCCCUGAUUGCCCAUCGCUCAGUAACUGCAGCCCUGGCACUAGGUCAGACUGGCCCUCUUAUGUGAU
rnacentral:lncRNA from 1 species